AUGAAGAUGAAGAUGAAGAUGAAGAUGAAGAUGAAGAAGAAUAGUUCAAUAAAUAUGCUCUUCACAUAUUUGAAAUGGCUUUUAAUGGAUUUUUGAAGACUUGGAGCCAGGCUCUAUCUCUUUGCAUUACACAGGUGAACUGCCUUCACCUGUGGUCCUGCAGCUGACUUAGUGGUUGCCUCACAUGAUCAAUCAGUGGUUCAGGCCAAUCUUCAACACUUCCCAUACACUCAACCCCUUCAUAGUAUGAACCAAUCAGUUAAGUAGACAGUGAGCCUUCCCUAAUACAUAGAGAUCUGACACACCACAACGCUAUACCAUUGCCCGUCACGAUAACACUAUUUAAUAAGAGUGAUAAUCAGUAUACAGUGUAUGUUCAUGCUCUUUCAUGAGCCCGUGCUUCAUGUUAUUACUGGAGGCAUGUGGUCUUGACGUUAAGGCCCAUCCUGUGCUCCAUCAGUCCAAUGUAGACGGUUCACUGGGUGUCGCACAAGAUCUCACAGGAACGCUAUGAUGGUAUUUUGUUCCUUCCGAUCAUCCUAGAGGCUUGAAGACUCAUAGAGACUAAUACACAGGUUUGAGGGGUACAAGCAGGAGAAGGUCCACCCUCCAGGGUGAGAUACAGGCUUUAUUUCCAUCUUGGGUCAUCACUACAGUCUGUUCAGGGGCAUGCCCCAACUGCCUGUACCGUACCCUUUGGCCAGAUUUCUGCAGCUGCUCAACUACAUCAGUCAUCGGAGGGGGUGUCCUCAUCUGCCAUAGGGACAUGAUGGGGGGGUCCCUUUAGCAAGGGAGAUCAGAGUGUUGACUACAAUAUCCGUAGGCCACAGACCUAUUGGUGGGAUAAUCAAAAAUAAAUGAAAAAGCUCAUCCACAUCCUAGGCUCGCAGAGAAACUCCCAAAGGAAGCAACUUCCAAGAAGGGAUCCUUCCUCAGUGGCUGUUAGCCCUUAAACGGGGGCUAGGAGAGGGGGAGCUGGGCUCCACCACUUUUGGUCACACAGUUCCUGUAAGGACAGAGGGAAGGGGAACAAGAGAGAGAAAGAGAACACACCGGAAUUUAUGUAUUCUUCUUCUCUUUGAGCUCUGAAGUAUGAGAAUUCAGCAUGCCAGAUUAUGGUACUGUUUGUGGUGUAAUUUGUCAUGGACAAUUGUGCUCUUUCUUCACCAUCUUUGUUAGUAAUUGAUACUCCUUCCAAGAUAUAAACACUGUAUUUCUGCCAUGACAGACAACAAAUCUGCAAUAGAGAUUCACAGAUAAUUAAAACAAACAAUCAAACCCGUUUAUGUUGUUUCUACUCAUCCUUUCAGCACAAGUGUCUCUUCUGGAGUAAGUGCUUCAACUAUUCAAUGCAUUUUAAAAGCAUCGCUAACAAGGAGCCAGUAUAGCUAGGAGCAGCGCUGAUAAGGAGCAUACACUGAUUUCCUUUCCUGGAAAUCUUAUGUAUUUUCCUUACCUUAUUGUAUGAAAGUAUUUGCAUUCUUAAGGGAGCAUAGCCUCAGGGCUGGCAUUUGCAUCUGUGUUAUCCUCUAACCACAGGGUACAGUGACCAGAAAUCAGUUCUUGGCUGCAGGAUCAAAUGUGGGGCCAAACUUUUUUAUUGAAUAAGUGAGCUGUAAGACUAUAAGCUGCAGUUUCCUUUUUGGCUAAACAUUAUUAAUACCAGUAAUCCACAAACUCAGCAUCCUUUAAAACUGAUAAUAGUUCAAACUAACAGCAUCCUGCUUAUGUAGCCCCUCAGCCCUUACAAACUCCAUAAACAGAGAUUUCCAAGUCUAUGAAGUUGUGCCUCUUUUUCUGGUUGUUUGAAAACUCUUCCUUUAGAUGGAAUACCAAAAUAAGGAUUUCUCUUCCAUUUCUUUCUUAAGAAAAAUCCUACUAGCUGCCAGCAGUGUUGGAAAAUUUGAACUCAAGUACAUGCACAAAAUAAGCAAUUCCAGCCUUGCCACCGAGUGCUGGCUGAGAUGCUCAGCUGUGUUUUGAAAGGGCUGCCUCCAGGAGCAAAAUACAAGUUCAACGAUGCAGCUCGUAUAAUAUUUUCCAGUAUAAAGGAUCACUAACACACAAAUACUUUCAAGACUGUUCCAUCAAGUCAUAUAAGAAAAUACAGAAUAUAGUGGUGUUUUUUUUUUUUUUUUAUUUGAUAGUACAUUUGAAUCUAGUUCUCAUCAGGCAGGGCUGGAUUGGGUCUUUCACAUAUAAGCAAUAAUGGUUAAAGCAAGGUAUUUUAAUUGACCAUAUCAAUGAAACAUUUUCCAGAAAAUACUGUAAAAGGCCCUAGUAAAGGACAAGAAUUUGGGUAGAUUAGUAACAGUUUAGAAUAUUCAUUGGGAGAAUUUGCUUUAAAAUUAUCAAAACAGUUAUUUGGAUGUAGCAAUAAAGCCUAAUUUACAAUAGUACUGAGCAGCAAGAAGCAAAGCGUGUUAACUGCAAUAACUGGC
rnacentral:lncRNA from 1 species